GUGGGGAAUCUUGCGCAAUGGGCGAAAGCCUGACGCAGCCAUGCCGCGUGAAUGAUGAAGGUCUUAGGAUUGUAAAAUUCUUUCACCGGGGACGAUAAUGACGGUACCCGGAGAAGAAGCUCCGGCUAACUUCGUGCCAGCAGCCGCGGUAAUACGAAGGGGGCUAGCGUUGCUCGGAAUUACUGGGCGUAAAGGGCGCGUAGGCGGACAGCUUAGUCAGAGGUGAAAGCCCAGGGCUCAACCUUGGAAUUGCCUUUGAUACUGGCUGUCUUGAGUUUGAGAGAGGUGAGUGGAACUCCGAGUGUAGAGGUGAAAUUCGUAGAUAUUCGGAAGAACACCAGUGGCGAAGGCGACUCACUGGCCCAAUACUGACGCUGAGGCGCGAAAGCGUGGGAAGCAAACAGGAUUAGAAACCCUUGUAGUCC
rnacentral:rRNA from 1 species